rnacentral:rRNA from 1 species
CCUACGGGAGGCAGCAGUGAGGAAUAUUGGUCAAUGGGCGCGAGCCUGAACCAGCCAAGCAGCGUGAAGGAUGACUGCCCUACGGGUUGUAAACUUCUUUUAUAAAGGAAUAAAGUGCGUUACGUGUGCCUUUUUGUAUGUACUUUACGAAUAAGGAUCGGCUAACUCCGUGCCAGCAGCCGCGGUAAUACGGAGGAUCCGAGCGUUGUCCGGAUUUAUUGGGUUUAAAGGGAGCGUAGAUGGGUUGUUAAGUCAGUUGUGAAAGUUUGCGGCUCAACCUUAAGAUUGCAAUUGAUACUGGAAGUCUUGAGUACAGUUGAGGUAGGCGGAAUGCGUGGUGUAGCGGUGAAAUGCAUAGAUAUCACGAAGAACUCCGAUUGCGAAGGCAGCUUACUAAACUGCAACUGACAUUGAUGCUCGAAAGUGUGGGUAUCAAACAGGAUUAGAUACCCGAGUAGUC